CAGUAGCCACGGUAAUACGUAGGUGGCAAGCGUUGUCCGGAAUUAUUGGGCGUAAAGGGCUCGCAGGCGGUUUCUUAAGUCUGAUGUGAAAGCCCCCGGCCCAACCGGGGAGGGUCAUUGGAAACUGGGAAACUUGAGUGCAGAAGAGGAGAGUGGAAUUCCACGUGUAGCGGUGAAAUGCGUAGAGAUGUGGAGGAACACCAGUGGCGAAGGCGACUCUCUGGUCUGUAACUGACGCUGAGGAGCGAAAGCGUGGGGAGCGAACAGGAUUAGAUACCCCCGUAGUCCCUGUCUCUUAUAU
rnacentral:rRNA from 1 species